rnacentral:rRNA from 1 species
GGGCCCGCACAAGCAGUGGAGUAUGUGGUUUAAUUCGAAGCAACGCGAAGAACCUUACCAGGUCUUGACAUCCACAGGAUUCUUAAGAGAUUAGGAAGUGCCCUUCGGGGAACUGUGAGACAGGUGGUGCAUGGUUGUCGUCAGCUCGUGUCGUGAGAUGUUGGGUUAAGUCCCGCAACGAGCGCAACCCUUGUGAAUAGUUGCUACGCGAGAGCACUCUAUUCAGACUGCCGUUGACAAAACGGAGGAAGGUGGGGAUGACGUCAAAUCAUCAUGCCCCUUAUGACCUGGGCUACACACGUACUACAAUGGCCGCGAACAAAGGGCAGCGACACCGCGAGGUGAAGCGAACCCCAAAAAACGGUCUCAGUUCAGAUUGCAGGCUGCAACCCGCCUGCAUGAAGAUGGAAUUGCUAGUAAUCGCGGAUCAGCAUGCCGCGGUGAAUACGUUCCCGGGCCUU